rnacentral:rRNA from 1 species
UACGAAGGGGGCUAGCGUUGUUCGGAUUUACUGGGCGUAAAGCGCACGUAGGCGGACUAUUAAGUCAGGGGUGAAAUCCCGGGGCUCAACCCCGGAACUGCCUUUGAUACUGGUAGUCUUGAGUUCGAGAGAGGUGAGUGGAAUUCCGAGUGUAGAGGUGAAAUGCGCAGAUAUCAGGAGGAACACCCGUGGCGAAAGCGGCUCUCUGGGACGGUACUGACGCUGAGACGCGAAAGCGUGGGGAGCAAACAGG